GUACAGAAGGAUUCGAAGCAGAAAGAAUUCCCUUUUCAGAAUAAGACUGAAGACGUAUUUCUUCAGCCAAUAACUCACUGACAACAGAGUCAACAGAAGGCAGUGGAGAACGAUGCAGAAUUGAACCUCUAAGUCCUUCGAAAUCACUGCGAAGUGCUGUUAAAAAUUGUACCAAUCGUUGCUGCUCUCUACGUUCAAUAUAAGCACCACAUGCUUUUA
rnacentral:lncRNA from 1 species